AUUGGAUGAGCCCGCGGCCUAUCAGCUUGUUGGCGGGGUAACGGCCCACCAAGGCGACGACGGGUAGCUGGUCUGAGAGGACGACCAGCCACACUGGGACUGAGACACGGCCCAGACUCCUACGGGAGGCAGCAGUGGGGAAUAUUGCGCAAUGGGCGAAAGCCUGACGCAGCGACACCGCGUGCGGGAUGAAGGCCUUCGGGUUGUAAACCGCUUUCGGCAGGGGCGAAGCGAACGUGACGAUACCUGCAGAAGAAGGUCCGGCUAACUACGUGCCAGCAGCCGCGGCCGAU
rnacentral:rRNA from 1 species